AGUCUGGUGCCAGCAGCCGCGGUAAUUCCAGCUCCAAUAGUGUAUAUUAAAGUUGCUGUCGUUAAAACGCUCGUAGUUGGAUUCCUGAUGAUUAAUAGUUAAAAGGACUAUAUUUAUAUAUGGUCUUUUCUAUUUCAUCAUAUUUAUAUCUACUAUAUGAGGUAUAUUGAAAGAUAUACGUCAUUUAAUGGUAAAUAUUUAUUUACCUUGAAAAAAUUAGGGUGUUCAAAGCAGGUUUAAAUUUAAGCCUAUUAAAUACAUUAGCAUGGGAUAAUAAAAGAGGACUUAGGUCUAAUUUUCAUUGGUUCAUUAGACUUAGGUAAUGAUUAAUAGGGAUAGUUGGGGUCAUUUGAAUCGAAUGGUUAGAGGUGAAAUUCUAGGAUUCAUUCGAGACAGACUAAUGCGAAAGCAUCUGACAAGGAUGUUUUCAUUAAUCAAGAACGAAAGUUAGGGGAUCGAAGAUGAUCAGAUACCGUCGUAGUCUUAACCUUAAACGAUGUGGACUAAGGAUCAGUGGAUGUUAUUUAAAAAAGACUCUACUGGCACUUUGUGAGAAAUCACAAGUAUUUGCAUUCGAGGGGGAGUAUGGUCGCAAGGCUGAAACUUAAAGGAAUUGACGGAACGGCACCACCAGGAGUGGAAUCUGCGGCUUAAUUUGACCCAACACGGGAAAACUUACGAGGUCCGGACACAAUAAGGAUUGACAGAUUGAUAGUUCUUUCUUGAUUUUGUGGAUAGUGGUGCAUGGCCGUUUUUAGUUGGUGGAGUGAUUUGUCUGGUUAAUUCCGUUAACGAACGAGACCUUAACCUAUUAAAUAUGUGUCGAUAAUAAGACCUUUGGGUCAUUUAAUUAUUAUAUACUUCUUAGAGGGACAUUUUAAUUAUCAAUUAAACGGAAGUUUGAGGCAAAAACAGGUCUGUGAUGCCCUUAGAUGUUCUCGGCCGCACGCGCAUUACACUGAUAUAGUCAACGAGUUAUAUAAACCUUUCCUGAAGAGGAUGGGUAAUCUUUUUAAUCUAUGUCGUGAUGGGGAUAGAGCAUUGUAAUUAUUGCUCUUAAACGAGGAAUUCCUAGUAGGUGUGGUUCAUCAAACCACGCCGAUUACGUCCCUGCCGUUUGUACACACCGCCCGUCGCUCCUACCGAUUGAGUAGUCCGGUGAGGAUUCGAGAGAAUGUUUAUUUAAUAAAAGCCCUACGGUUUUUAUUAUAGAUAAUCAAACUUAUCCAAACCUUACCACUUAGAGGAAGGAGAAGUCGUAACAAGGUCUCCGUAGGUGAACCUGCGGAGG
rnacentral:rRNA from 1 species